rnacentral:ncRNA from 2 species
CGGCGUUCUCAGGGCGGGGCGAAAUUCCCCACCGGCGGUAAGGGGCGCAUGCCUCAAGCCCGCGAGCGCAUCGGGGUUGCAAAGCUUCGAUGGUCAAGCAGAUCCGGUGCGAUUCCGGAGCCGACGGUUACAGUCCGGAUGGAAGAGAACGCCG